GAGGAGUUUAGUGCAAAUCUGAAUUCAGGAAGAGUUCUGUAAACAAGUUGGAGACAAAUUGUGAGCCUCUGUCCGAUAGAAGAAAGUCUGGAACUCCCCAGCGUGUGAGAAUUUCUUUUUGAAACAGCUUUGCAAUUACUGGUGCAGUAGCAGCACGCAUGGGAAAUAAUUCCACCCAGCGGGUGUAGUAAUCCACAAAUACUAGUCUGACAUUUCAAACAGGAUCGGAUGAAGUUCUUGACGUCGUCCCACAUUUUUGGCCAGAAAACUACGUCAUGGAGACGUUUGUAUGUUUUAAACAUGCCUUGAUGGCCACACAACGGAGAAUUGUGAUAUGCCUGUAGAAUGGUGGUUAUGAGUGUUUUUGGCACCCAAAGACGGUAAUGGUAUUUAUUGUCAGCUAGGUGAGAUUUCCUAUAAACCAUAUUCUCAAUCACAGAAUAUUUGGAUUCUGAGACUUUACAACCCUCAGCUAAGGCUUUGAUGAUGCUGGAUAUUUCAGGAUCUUUCUGUUGUUCCUCCCACAGUGUGGUCAUGGAAAAGGGAAAGUCUUCUGUAUCCUUCUGACUGGAAGUCAUCAUACAGGCAGGGCCGAGUGGAAUCCUAGACAGAGCAUCCGGUGCCACAUUGAGUUUGCCUUUCCGGUAUUCAAUUACAAAAUUGAAUUUUUGGAGUCGAAGUGCCCAUCUUAUAAGACGACUAGACGUUUUAGUGCUGUUCAUUACCCACUGUAAGGAGGCAUGGUCAGUCACCACAGUAAACAACUUUGGUUCCAAAUAAUGCUCCCAUUUCUCUAGAGCCCAGA